ACACGUACCGGACGAACGUUAUUCGGAAUCACUGGGCUUAAAGAGUCCGUAGGCGGCUCGGUAGGUGAGGUGUGAAAUCCCACGGCUCAACCGUGGAACUGCGCCUCAAACCACCGGGCUUGAGGGAGAUAGAGGUGAGCGGAACUGAUGGUGGAGCGGUGAAAUGCGUUGAUAUCAUCAGGAACACCGGUGGCGAAAGCGGCUUACUGGGUCUCUUCUGACGCUGAGGCACGAAAGCUAGGGUAGCGAACGGGAUUAGAAACCCCGGUAGUCC
rnacentral:rRNA from 1 species